CUUUUCCUUCUGGGAUUUGUCUCUCAGUGGCAGAGCUCAGCAGCAUCUGUGAAGUGGAAAUGAGCAGGCAGUACCGCAGAUCAGACUGGGGCUGUGGGUACGCUGCCCUCCCAAGCCCCCCUCUGGUCCCCCCACCAAAGUCCUGGGGCUCUGCCAAAGACCUAGCGGAAGGGAAAAAAGGGAGCGAGGGAGGAGGGAGAGCCUCUUCCUCCUCUGUGCAACACAGGCUUUGCGGGAUGCUGGUAUUCCUGGACGUGUUGCCAUAGAGGUUCUCAUUUCAGCGUAGCAGUCCCCUGUUCCACUGCGGCUCAAGUCCUGACCGUGACUUCAACAUCAUUUAACAGCCAAGCAAAACCUGGCAGAUAACCUGCAAAGCUUUGCUCAGGAGCAGAGGUGAUAGAGAGGGUGUCCAGUGGAUGCAGCCUUCGUAUCUUCACAGCGGUUCCCUGGAGCAUGAAACUGCUCUCUCCAGGCUGAAGCUGGCAGGAGGGGCACCUUACACUUGCCGGUUUUGAUCAGAGGAUCUAAGGGCCAUCCAGCAUAGAAUCUAACUCUAAACCCACAAACAAUCAGUUAAUUUUGGUGCUCUCAAAUUGCCGUACUAAAGCAAGAGAGAUAGGUGCAAAGAUAGGAUGUCAGUGGCGGAGCUGGGAGGUUAAGCCAGAUAUGCCGAGUCUCUCUCUGGGGCAUAACCAAAGCACAGCCCUUCCUCUUUGGCCCGCAGCAGUUGCAUCUUAAGGCCUGUUAAUCUGGAUCAGUGACAGAGCUAUUCUCUUCUAGCGGGUCAAAAGCACUUUUCACACAUUUUCACCUGUUUUCUUAACACAGCAACAACCUGAGUACCAACUACUCAAGCGAAAGGCAAGUUGCUCUGGUUACUUUUCAUCUAAUAUCCUGCUACAGCUGAAGGUGCUACUGAGAAAAAUAUCUACAUAUCCUCAAAGUCCCUAAACCCAAAGCAUUUAACAAGAAAUAAUCCAUUAGUGACCCACCAUUCCCUUGCAUCCAGAACAAUUUCCAGCCGGAAUCCUCUCAACAAUGGAGUGAUUCAAAACUCACAGAUGUUUCAUGAAGAUUUUUUCAGAACUUCUAGUCAGAUGGAUUUCACAAGUGGGCUCUGUUUGCCAUCAGACAAAUAUGAUAUAUACUACAUUCACCUUUACCCAUAAACCACUCGAAUGAGGCUUCAUCAAAGGAAGUAUGCUUUUCAUCAUGCUUUUUACUGGCAACAGAGCUGUGCCCAGAAGCACUUUGUGCUAAGUCUUUUUCUUGUAAAUACUUACAGGCUUAUUGCUCAUCCUCCCUCAUUCAGGACAUGGCGGGGACUCAGGAAGAGGAAUGACAUUUCCACACAGUUGUUGGUGUGGCCAGUGAGGAGCCUUUCUCAGACUGGACUGGGGAAGAGGAACAGCUUACUUCCCCCAUACUUUUGGAGCUCAGCCUUACUUGCAAAUGUGAUGUCCUUCAGUGUAAUCAGUUAUUCUCUUGUUCUGAGCUCUCCUAAGUGCCUGACUGACCUUCACUGUCCCUUUAGCUCUUUGUCCCUCCUGGCAACAGAUAAGAUAAAACCAGUCAAUGUGUUGGA